rfam:Planktothrix tepida PCC 9214 isolate BBR_PRJEB10993 genome assembly, scaffold: BBR_B_PL9214_scaffold57
GUUUAAACUACUAUUAAUCCCUAUCAGGGAUUGAAAC